GUAGGGUUUCCGUACCAGAUUAUGCCAUGAUGUGUUUCUGUAUUGUUGGUAUUUUGGUCUAUUUUUAUUGUUUUUUUAAGCUUUCACCUUGAAACUUGUUAGAUGAAUUGAUCUUUUGACACCAUUGUCCUUCCACCUUUUCUGUUCAAAAUGUGACUCAAUAUGUGGUUUGUUUCCACUAGGAAAUGGAAACCAACUCUGCUUUUGUAUUUAGUUAGCUAUGAUUGACGGCAAAAGGCCUAGGAUGUGGUUCCCUUCCAGAACUCAAGUACAUUGGUUGUUUCAUUUGGGCCCUUAUCUUCUAUUCUUAUAUUUUGUCUUGUCCCUUCAUCCCAACGGCUACAUGAACAUAUUAUAUGUAAAAGAAUGAACAAACUUUUCUCGAUCAUUUGUUUUUCUUUAACCUAGAUACAUGUAUGUAUUUAUAAACAUGUGCAUGUGUGUAUAAACAUUUCAAAUAAUAGCCACUGUAAAACUACAUCUCUUUUCUUAGU
rnacentral:misc_RNA from 1 species